UUUUAUCGAACAUCGUAAGUGGUUCUUAUUCUCAAAUUGAUUUCUUUCAUUGAAAUACACACAGUCUGAGAAUACUCCUGUAUUGAAAAGAAAGAAAAUAUUUGUCGAACAUGACAGAUAUGAAUCUACUCUCAAAUACUGUAUACUUUAAUUGCGGUAAAGAAAAAUAUUUCGAAUUCUCUGCAUUAAAAAAAAAAAACUGGCAAAGAGGUUCACGCAGCAGGAGAUAUAAGGAUCCCACUUCUUCGUUGAAAUUAGAUCACGCUUGGUGAAAAUGUAUUGGCUUGGUUGUGUCUAGUCGUCCUGAAAAAUUAAGAGAGUUAGAAAAGAGGAUGGACUAGUCGUCCCGAAAAUUCUAGGCGGUUGACCAAGCUCAUGAGAAAUAUAUAACUACUCAUCCGUGAAUAAUUAAAAUAGCAAACAAAAUCAUAAAUUUUCAACAAAGAAGACUAAUUUUCAAACGAAAAGACGAAUUUUUAUUGAAAUGCGUUAAUUGGACAAAAUUUAACUGUUAGGUUAGAAAAUUAAUUACAGAAUAUAAAAACAAAUUGCAAUCAACUACAAGUAGAUUAAUUUGGCUAAGAACUAGAUUAUUAAAUAUUAUAAGUGAAUUACAAGUAAACUAUUAAUAGAUUGCUAGUGGAUAACUCCGAAGUACAAAUUAAUUGCCC